GCUAAACGCGAAGAACCUUACCAAGGCUUGACAUAUACCGUUUAUCCCUAGAGGUAGGGAGUCCUUCGGGGCGGUAUACAGGUGGUGCAUGGUUGUCGUCAGCUCGUGUCGUGAGAUGUUGGGUUAAGUCCCGCAACGAGCGCAACCCUCGUUCUAUGUUGCCAGCGCGUAAUGGCGGGGACUCAUAGGAGACUGCCGGGGUCAACUCGGAGGAAGGUGGGGAUGACGUCAAAUCAUCAUGCCCCUUAUGUCUUGGGCUUCACGCAUGCUACAAUGGCCGGUACAAAGGGCUGCAAUACCGCAAGGUGGAGCGAAUACCCAAAAAGCCGGUCUCAGUUCGGAUUGGGGUCUGCAACUCGACCCCAUGAAGUCGGAGUCGCUAGUAAUCGCAGAUCAGCAACGCUGCGGUGAAUACGUUCCCGGGUCUUGUACACACCG
rnacentral:rRNA from 1 species